rnacentral:rRNA from 1 species
UCGUAACAAGGUUUCCGUAGGUGAACCUGCGGAAGGAUCAUUACUAUUAGCAGAUUUUCUGCUGGGAGCGGAAAGCUUUGGAGUGCUUAGCAUUUUCAAAGGGAGUACGCUUUCUAAAAUCCUUGUCUUUUUGCGUACCCAUGUUUCCUCGGUGGGCUUGCCCGCCGGCUGGACAACUUAAUAACCUUUUAAUUCUCAAUCAGCGUCUGAAUAAUUAUAAUAAUUACAACUUUCAACAACGGAUCUCUUGGUUCUGGCAUCGAUGAAGAACGCAGCGAAAUGCGAUAAGUAGUGUGAAUUGCAGAAUUCAGUGAAUCAUCGAAUCUUUGAACGCACAUUGCGCCCCUUGGUAUUCCAUGGGGCAUGCUUGUUCGAGCGUCAUUUGUACCCUCAAGCUUUGCUUGGUGUUGGGUGUUUGUCCUUUUCUUUGCAAUUGGACUCGCCCUAAAUUCAUUGGCAGCUACAGUAGUAGUGGAAAGCGCAGCACAAUUUGCGCCUUUUGCUGGUAUUAUGGGCGUCCAUUAAGCACAAUUAACACUUUGACCUC